rnacentral:lncRNA from 1 species
ACGAAAGCUUAGUCAUAGCGACUAGUUAGCUUUCCCCUAUAGUUUAAAUUUAAUUAUUACGUGUUGUACGAGCGGAACUUGUGGUUCCAGGCCGUGGUAGUAAGAACCACACUGAUUCCCGGAACGUCCAAGCGGUACAAAUCGACAGGUUGCGUACGAACGAGGCCAAAAAGAACUGUAUAAGGCGUAAACAUCAAGGUACAUUUAAUUUGAAUUCGGUCAAAACAGACCACUCAACAAUCUUUGUUCACACGAUCACCGUAGGCUGGGUCAAUUUGGUCACCAUCGAAAAUUGCCGUGCAUAUCGAGCAAACGGGCUAAGGGAAACUAAAUCUUUGAGCUGCGUAACACUAACCGUUGCUGCAAAGAGUUUACCCAUUUCAACAG